CUCAGCUUGCCCCACAACUACCAGCUGCUCCACUCCGUGACCAAAGCAAUGGACGUUGGGCCACACAGGGUUCCAUUCAGGUGGGCCUAGGCCACGGUCCAGAUCUCUGGGUCAUCAGGGAAGAUACCGAACUCCUCAGGAAAGACUGCCACCAGAACAUGUUCCUGUCAUGCUGGUACUAGCAUCUCCACACCACAUUCUAUCACCCCAGGCCCUGUGCUGGGGAUUGAACUCAGUGCCUGGUGCAUGCUAGGCAAGUGAUUUAUCACUGAAUUACAUCCUAAGCUCAUCUAAAACUUUCCAUAACAUGUACCUACCAUGAUUUUUCCUCUUAUAACUGCAUUUUAAAGUUAAUUGAGACAUAACUCACAUACCAUACCAAUGACCCAUUUAAAGUGUAUAAUUCAAUUGUGUUUUAUUCUAUUCAUAGAAUUGUGCAACUAUCACUCCAAUAAAUCUUAGAACAUCUUCAUCACCUCUAAAAGAAUUAUUGUUUACUUUAGAAAAUUUCCCCCAACCCCCUAGGCAACUAUUGAUCAGCUUCUGUCUUCAUAGAUUUGCCUAAACCAUAGAUUUGCCUAAUUUCAUGCAAUUAGAAUCAUACAACAUAUGAUUUUUUGUGACUGACUUCUUUGACUUAGCAUAAUAUCUUCAAGGUUCAUCCACAUUGUAGCAUAUAUCAAUAUUUCAUUCCUCUUUAUGGGUGAAUAGUAUUCCUUUGAAUGGAUAUACCACAUAUCAUUUAUAUAUUCAUCAAUUAUGGACAUUUGAAUUAUAUUUACUUCUUGGUUGUUAUAAAUAAGCAACACUUAUGUACAUGUUUUUGUGUAGACAUACGUUUUCAUCUGUCUUGGUCAUAAAUAAUACCUUCAAUCUCACCUGAAGUGGGGUUGCUCAGUCAUAUAAUAGAUCUAUGUUUAAUCUUUGGGGACACUGCCAGUGUGUGUUUUCCAAAGUGGUUACACCUUCUUUCACUCCCACCAGCAGUUUAUGAGGGUUCUGGUUUCUCCACAUUAUUCGUUAUUAUUUGACUUUUAAUUUCUAGCUAUCCUAGUGGAUACCUUGUUAUAGAAUUCAGUUACCCAAUUAAAGAAUACAAUCAAAUAGUUUUUGGAUUAUUACAUUAUUUUAUUGUGGUUUUGAUUUGCAUUUCCCUGGUGAAUAAUGAUGUUGAACCUCCUUUUUUGGUAUAUAUCAGCCACUUGUAUCUCUCCUUUGGAGAAAUCUCUCUUCACAUCUUGGCCUAUUUUCUCUUCCAGAUUUAUUGAAGUAUAAUUAAAAAAUAAAAAUUAUGUGUGCCUA